UACGUAGGGUGCGAGCGUUGUCCGGAAUUACUGGGCGUAAAGAGCUCGUAGGUGGUUUGUCGCGUUGUCCGUGAAAACUCACAACUCAAUUGUGGGCGUGCGGGCGAUACGGGCAGACUGGAGUACUGCAGGGGAGACUGGAAUUCCUGGUGUAGCGGUGGAAUGCGCAGAUAUCAGGAGGAACACCAGUGGCGAAGGCGGUUCUCUGGGCAUUACCUGACGCUGAGGAGCGAAAGUGUGGGGAGCGAACAGG
rnacentral:rRNA from 1 species